UGGGGAAUUUUGGACAAUGGGCGAAAGCCUGAUCCAGCAAUGCCGCGUGUGUGAAGAAGGCCUUCGGGUUGUAAAGCACUUUUGUCCGGAAAGAAAUCCUUGGCUCUAAUACAGUCGGGGGAUGACGGUACCGGAAGAAUAAGCACCGGCUAACUACGUGCCAGCAGCCGCGGUAAUACGUAGGGUGCAAGCGUUAAUCGGAAUUACUGGGCGUAAAGCGUGCGCAGGCGGUUUGCUAAGACCGAUGUGAAAUCCCCGGGCUCAACCUGGGAACUGCAUUGGUGACUGGCAGGCUAGAGUAUGGCAGAGGGGGGUAGAAUUCCACGUGUAGCAGUGAAAUGCGUAGAGAUAUGGAGGAAUACCGAUGGCGAAGGCAGCCCCCUGGGCCAAAUACUGACGCUCAUGCACGAAAAGCGUGGGGGAGCAAAACAGGAUUAGAUACCCUGGUAGUCCACGCCCUAAAACGAUGUCAACUAGUUGUUGGGGAUUCAUUUCCUUAGUAACGUAGCUAACGCGUGAAGUUGACCGCCUGGGGAGUACGGUCGCAAGAUUAAAACUUAAAGGAAUUGACGGGGUCAUAGCUGUUUCCU
rnacentral:rRNA from 1 species